GUGCCCCGUUUGGCAGCACACAUACUGAAACUGGAAUGAUACAGAGAUUAGCAUGGCCCCUGCACAAGGAUAACAGGCAAAUUCAUGAAGCGUUCCAUAUUUUU